rnacentral:misc_RNA from 1 species
CCGAGUCCUGGGACCUUAAAAUCCCAACUCCCACCCUAUGUUGAUUUUAAACCGUUGCUUUGGCGGACCAGUAGCCUCGGCUGCCGCCGGCCUCGCGGCUGGAUAGCGUCCGCCAGAGGGAUUUUUAAACUCUGUUAAAUUGUGGAAUCUGAGUCUUUGAGAAUUAGAAUCA